CCUCUAGUGCUGUCAAAAGCUAAAACAAAGGCAUGCGCAACUACACACGUUUCGUCUGUUUAUUCCCUGAUCGGAGUUCGCGUGAUCGACUUUUCAUCUUCAUAUUUGGCAGAAAUGGACUAUUGGAUCCAAGAAUUGAAAUCGUUAUGUUCAAAUUAGUCUAUACGCGAACUACGGCGUUUUUAAAAUAUUGUUUCUCCUAUUCUUUCACUGAAAAGGAAAUUCCAGUCAAAUGUAUAGAAAUUGCCGUUGGUUUAGCUAUUUGCAUACAUGAAGUAUAAAACUUAUUUUUCAGUCCAGCGGUUUGUUUAUGACAAGCUUCCAUUGUCUCAUACUCUCAUGACUCACCAUUUCUGAUCCUUUUGUAGUUUGUCACCAAGUACAGCUUUCAACUACUGUCGGUCACUAAUGGUGAAUUAAAACAUGGUUGUAAGUCAUUUUAAAUCUAUCUAUUUUUCUAAAUCUCCAUAGAUUUUCCUGCUUGCAAUGCACCCAGCAGUCAGCACCCUUUAUAGUUUGGGAUACUGAAUUUCAAGAAUAUUAAUUACCAAUUACUAGAUAUGCUAGUUUCCAUUUGGAUACGACUGGAAAUAUCAAAUCGAGCCUGUGUUAUUUUGGGCUAUGCUUAGCCCCCAUACAUAUUUAAAUGAAAUGGGCUCUGGCCACAGUGUGGCAUGGUCAACCUGGCAGCCUAUAAAAAGCUCUAAUUGCCAACGAUUAUGCAACUUGUAUCCAAUUCUUCCCUCUCAAUGAAAAACUUCAACUUCCUAAAAACAGGAGGUGCACUUGGGCACAGUCUGCAUAUCAAUGUGAUAAUUAUUAAAUUCUGUGUUUAUUUUAAACAAUAUUCAAUGUAGAAAAUUGCCCUGCAGUUGAAGUGUAAUUUAGAGAAUGUCACAGAUCUUCAAGCUGAAGGGGAAGAUUUCAGGUGGUAUUUGAAGGUAAGCUUCACACAUCUCCCUAUGAACUCAAUCUUCAUU